rfam:Paenibacillus sp. DMB20 mira_6, whole genome shotgun sequence.
GGACAGAACUCUGGAGAGACUCCGCUGAAACGGGGCACCGAAGGGGCAAGACGUGUCACCACACGUUAAAACUCUCAGGUAAAAGGACAGGGAUUGCAGA